rnacentral:ncRNA from 1 species
AUGAGAAGACCCUAUGGAGCUUUAAUUAAUUAAUUACUUAAUUAAUCCAACCCCCUGCCAAUAACAAACUUUAAGGAAUAACAUAGCUUUUAAUGGAUUAACAAUUUUGGUUGGGGUGACCUUGGAGAACAAAACAGUCUUUGACUGAUUAAAACUUAAACCAUCUAGUCAAAAUGCUUUAUCACAUAUUGAUCUAAAUCAUUGAUCGACGGAACAAGUUACCCCAGGGACAACAGCACAAUCUUAUUCUAGAGUUCAUAUUGACAGUAGGGUUUACAGUCUUGAUGCUGGAUCAGGACAUCCCAAUGGUGUAACUGUUAUUAAUGGUUUGUUUGUUCAACAAUUAAAGUCCUACGUGAUCUAAGUUCAGACUGGAGUAAUCACAGUUGGUUUCUAU